rnacentral:rRNA from 1 species
GACGAACGCUGGCGGCGUGCUUAACACAUGCAAGUCGAACGGUAAGGCCCUUCGGGGUACACGAGUGGCGAACGGGUGAGUAACACGUGGGUGAUCUGCCCUGCACUUCGGGAUAAGCCUGGGAAACUGGUUCUAAUACCGGGUAGGACCCUGGGAUGCAUGUCCUGGGGUGGAAAACUUUUGUGGUGUGGGAUGGGCCCGCGGCCUAUCAGCUUGUUGGUGGGGUGAUGGCCUACCAAGGCGACGACGGGUAGCCGGCCUGAGAGGGUGACCGGCCAAACUGGGACUGAGAUACGGCCCAGACUCCUACGGGAGGCAGCAGUGGGGAAUAUUGCACAAUGGGCGCAAGCCUGAUGCAGCGACGCCGCGUGCGGGAUGACGGCCUUCGGGUUGUAAACCUCUUUCAGCACCGACGAAGCGCAAGUGACGGUAGGUGCAGAAGAAGGACCGGCCAACUACGUGCCAGCCGCCGCCGUAA